rnacentral:rRNA from 1 species
CAGGCCUAACACAUGCAAGUCGAACGAGACCUUCGGGUCUAGUGGCGCACGGGUGCGUAACGCGUGGGAAUCUGCCCCUUGGUUCGGAAUAACAGUUAGAAAUGACUGCUAAUACCGGAUAACGACGUAAGUCCAAAGAUUUAUCGCCGAGGGAUGAGCCCGCGUAGGAUUAGCUAGUUGGUGUGGUAAAGGCGCACCAAGGCGACGAUCCUUAGCUGGUCUGAGAGGAUGAUCAGCCACACUGGGACUGAGACACGGCCCAGACUCCUACGGGAGGCAGCAGUGGGGAAUAUUGGACAAUGGGCGAAAGCCUGAUCCAGCAAUGCCGCGUGAGUGAUGAAGGCCUUAGGGUUGUAAAGCUCUUUUACCCGGGAUGAUAAUGACAGUACCGGGAGAAUAAGCCCCGGCUAACUCCGUGCCAGCAGCCGCGGUAAU